GAUGAACGCUGGCGGCGUGCUUAAUACAUGCAAGUCGAGCGAAUGGAUUAAGAGCUUGCUCUUAUGAAGUUAGCGGCGGACGGGUGAGUAACACGUGGGUGACCUGCCCAUAAGACUGGGAUAACUCCGGGAAACCGGGGCUAAUACCGGAUAACAUUUUGAACCGCAUGGUUCGAAAUUGAAAGGCGGCUUCGGCUGUCACUUAUGGAUGGACACGCGUCGCAUUAGCUAGUUGGUGAGGUAACGGCUCACCAAGGCAACGAUGCGUAGCCGACCUGAGAGGGUGAUCGGCCACACUGGGACUGAGACACGGCCCAGACUCCUACGGGAGGCAGCAGUAGGGAAUCUUCCGCAAUGGACGAAAGUCUGACGGAGCAACGCCGCGUGAGUGAUGAAGGCUUUCGGGUCGUAAAACUCUGUUGUUAGGGAAGAACAAGUGCUAGUUGAAUAAGCUGACACCUUGACGGUACCUAACCAGAAAGCCACGGCUAACUACGUGCCAGCAGCCGCAGUAA
rnacentral:rRNA from 1 species